rnacentral:rRNA from 1 species
GACGAACGCUGGCGGCGUGCCUAAUACAUGCAAGUAGAACGCUGAAGGAGGAGCUUGCUCUUCUGGAUGAGUUGCGAACGGGUGAGUAACGCGUAGGUAACCUGCCUGGUAGCGGGGGAUAACUAUUGGAAACGAUAGCUAAUACCGCAUAAGAGUAGAUGUUGCAUGACAUUUACUUAAAAGGUGCAAUUGCAUCACUACCAGAUGGACCUGCGUUGUAUUAGCUAGUUGGUGGGGUAACGGCUUACCAAGGCGACGAUACAUAGCCGACCUGAGAGGGUGAUCGGCCACACUGGGACUGAGACACGGCCCAGACUCCUACGGGAGGCAGCAGUAGGGAAUCUUCGGCAAUGGACGGAAGUCUGACCGAGCAACGCCGCGCGAGUGAAGAAGGUUUUCGGAUCGUAAAGCUCUGUUGUAAGAGAAGAACGAGUGUGAGAGUGGAAAGUUCACACUGUGACGGUAUCUUACCAGAAAGGGACGGCUAACUACGUG